AACAGCAUGUUUGCCAUUGCCUUAGACCUAUUAGUUAACCGCAGUUACUCAAGCUUUUAACAUUUCGUGAUAGUGUAGACCUGUGUGAUGGCAGGUCUUGGGUAGGAGUUAGCUAGCAUUACCGAGCAAAAUCAACUAGCAAGCUAACAGUAGAUAGGCUACUGGCCAUUUGCCUUUUACAUUUGUAGCGAUGUUUAGCUGGUGUUUGACUUAGCUGACUAGCUGAUGUAAACAAAUACAGAAACAACAGCGGUUUGGCAAUGAUCAAAUUCAUUUUCAAUAUUAUUGACCGAAGAACUAAAUAGCCUACGUCCUCGGUUUUUGACAAGGAUCUCUUAGAAGCGUUUAGUUAGCGUAUUUGAAGAUCUGUAUAGCUUUCACGUAACUAGCCAACAUUAGCUACUCAGCCUAGUGUUACAAUCUGAUACAAAAUGUCGAGUUCAGCUCUGUUCCAGAACAAAUUAGUAUCCGUCAUGGAGAUACUUGUAAAUUCGGCAGUGGCCGAUAUUUGUAGAUUAGUGGAUGACGGUGCUGCUGUGUUGCAUUUCGAAAUUUCUCGAAGUAAAUCAGAAAACGAGGACCUCAGGUUGAAAUUACAAUUAAUGCAAAGAGAGUUGGAAACAGUGAGAAGAGGAAGGGAGAGGUCAUUGAAAUCUGUUGGUAUUCAGUGUGUGGACUUCAGUGAACGCCAGGAACUGUCCAUCACGAUUAAACAAGAACAACAGAAUGGUCUGCAAGGAGAAAGGGAGGAGAGGACAGCUGCAAAUAACAUCAUUGGUGGAGAUUGGUCUUUAGGCCUACCUGAGCCUUCAGCCAGGACAGAGAGAUCAGGUCGCACCGGUUUGGCAAAGGAAUCUACCCAUAACCAUGGGGAGUUUAACACAAGGCAUCAUAGAGCUAAAAGAAACCUUGCUCAGGUCAAUAGUCACCAACCAGAAAGGCCAACAGAGGGACACUAUGAAGUUGGAGGGCCAAAGACUGCAGGACACCAUUUGCAGAGGGACUCCAGAUCAGGAUCUCCAUCUGUCAAGUCUCACAGAGAAGAGAGCAGUUUGUCCCUGAAGUCUGAGGAUAAACCGAGUUGUGAGCGCGUUGGGAAAGAUGAUGAUAAACAUCCACUGGAGCAGCAACAGCAGCAGCAGCAGCAUCAACAACAGCUGCCGUUCUCUCCAUCAGAGCCCUAUGCUGAUUUCAGAGAUAAGAUAGCAUUUCCAUCUGAUGUCUGUGAGGUAGAGUACGAGCUGGAUGACGAGGUCUGCAACUUGGGGGACCAAGGCAGUUUCGUCUCUGGACAUCAGACAAGACCAAAACAGGAACAAGAAGGAGAGGGGAGUGGUAUGGGACAGGUAGAGCACGCUCCUCCUCCAGAUGUCUCACCUCGGUGCCUUUACCAGGCAGCGUCGGACUUGACCUUUGCCCUGCAAGCGGUUGGUGGUGUGGGUAUGCCAGCAGCGGACGUGGCACCGGCACCACCACCACCACCACAGUCAGGCCCCUCAGCAGCUCGUCCGCACGUUUGCACGCAGUGCGGCCGCGGCUUUGCGCACACGCACGUGCUGAAGCGCCACCUGGUGGUGCACUCGGGGCUGCGCCCGCACCCCUGCGGCUACUGCGGCAAGCGCUUCUCGCUGCGCGACAGCCUGCGGAGGCACCAGCGCAUCCACACCGGCGAGAGGCCCUACGGCUGCCAGCUGUGCGGCAAGCGCUUCACGCAGCGCACGCAUCUCAACAUCCACCUGUCGGUGCACACCGGCAUACGGCCUUUCACCUGCACGCACUGCGGUCGCAGCUUCACGCAGACGCACGUUCUGCGCAGGCACAUGCGGAUCCAUGCUGCCGAGGGGUCGUUUUAUCAGGAAGACUCCUGAAAUGGUUUCGGAUGAAACAGACGAAACAAAUAGUAGCCAACUACGAAGAAUUGGGCAUGAUGAUGAUCAACAUUGGCAGUUAAACACUACUGUCUUGAAAGGUCUCACAAAGGCAUGUGGAACCAGACAGAUGGCACGACCUCAUGUGACCCCUUUAAUUCAGGGCACCUUGUUCACCAAGUCAGGAUGUGAUCUUCAGUGAGGCCUUCGGUGUAAGCACUAACUCAGAGAGGAGGGAAAACGGGGUGACUGAAAUUCAGACAGUCACUGGAGGAAACAAGCCACUGCACCGCUUUUUAGCAGGCCAGCCAAGAUACAUUGGGAUUGCGUUGAUGUUCUUUGGCAGUAACGAAUUGAUGCUGGGUCUCCCGCUGAUACAGGACACCACUAUGACCUCAGCUAAAGUGUACACACCUUUCUGGCAAGCCGCAUUGUUCAUGAUCUGUGGAAGUUUGUCAAUUCACACUCAUAGCCACCCUUCCAAGAAGCUGG